UUUCUUUAAUCAAUAAUUCCAGGUCAGUGUUAUUGAUGACAAGAUGACAGUAGUACUGGGAGCACUCGCUGUUUGUGGGUUAAGGUGAAUGUUGUGAAGUCUCAACCACUUUCUUGUGGACUGGAGAUGGUAUGUAUGAAAAACCAUAUACAGAUCGAGCAGGAAUAUCUACCACAACCAUUAUCAUCAUAGUUGUAGUAUUUAUACUCCUAAUAUGUAUCCUUCUUGACUUGGUGGCAUACUUCCGGUACCAUUGGGGUGUUUCGUAUUUCUUCAGAAGUAUGUGUAAAAAACCAGUAAAGAAAAGCAAUACAAGUGCUACCAAGACUAGAGAUUUUAAAGCUUGAAAAGAUCAUCCUCCAGUGGGUUAGCGGUAAAUUCCCGGACUUACAAUGCUAAAAUCCAGGGUUUGAUUCCCCAUGGUAGACAAAGUACAACUUUGCAUUAAGGAACUUCAACAACAACUAGAAAAGUUCAGAUUUCUAAUUGUCAUACCAAAUAUAUGCAGAUCAUCAAGAAUGUUUUGAUUUCAAAUACAUUUAAAUUUUUAAUCCAGUACAUAAUCAUCUCUUUAUUAAACUCAAAAUCAUUUCUAUUUUUAAAAUAAUGAACCUUAAUAUUGACUAUAUAUUUAGAUAAUUCAAAAAUUCAACUAUGUGAGUAAAUUAUUCUACAUUAAUAUCUCGGUGGAAAUGAACACAUUUUAUCUGCUUUAUUGGAGAAUUUAGUCAGUAAGAAUUGUAGCUGGAUUAAUAAUUAGUUGCCAGUUUUUUAUGUUAUGUUUGUAGUAUUGCAUAUUGUCUGAUGCCAUAUUGUUUAUGGAAAUUGGAAAAGACAAUCAAAACUGAAGCUUACUUACUUUUGAUUGCUACUUUUUGUUCUGCAUCUGUACAUGUAUUGUCAGAUUUAUGUUGUUUUGAUAAAAUUCAAAAACAUUUAUUUCUAUUAAUAUGAACUUCUUGAUUGAUUGAAUAAUUGUAAGAUUAGAUAAUAAUAUUCCAAAAAUCCUAAGUCACAAAUUUGACAUUAUCAAUUUUUGCCUUUAUAAAAUUCUUGACCAACUUAUUAACCAGUCAGACUUCCUAUACCUUUUGCCAACGUUCAGUCCCAUUCCUUGUAAAAUAAAUAUUUAACACGUGCAUUUUGAUAUUUUAUUUUUCACAUGCAGACUUACUAGUGUUAAGAACAUUUUUGUUUGAAUAUAAAAAAACUAGAUUUGAUUUGGAAAUUUUGUGUUGAAUUACUUUUUCUUAAAUAUAUGAAUAAAUUUUGUAUAUAAUA